rnacentral:ncRNA from 1 species
GAGAGCCGUAUGAUGGGAAACUAUCACGUACGGUUCGGAGGGCAGAUAUGGAACACGUCAGUCCACUGACCCUAC